AGGUCUUGACAUCCUCUGACAAUCCUAGAGAUAGGACGUCUCCUUCGGGAGCAGAGUGACAGGUGGUGCAUGGUUGUCGUCAGCUCGUGUCGUGAGAUGUUGGGUUAAGUCCCGCAACGAGCGCAACCCUUGAUCUUAGUUGCCAUCAUUCAGUUGGGCACUCUAAGGUGACUGCCGGUGACAAACCGGAGGAAGGUGGGGAUGACGUCAAAUCAUCAUGCCCCUUAUGACCUGGGCUACACACGUGCUACAAUGGACAGAACAAAGAGCAGCGAAACCGCGAGGUUAAGCCAAUCCCACAAAUCCGUUCUCAGUUCGGAUCGCAGUCUGCAACUCGCCUGCGUGAAGCUGGAAUCGCUAGUAAUCGCGGAUCAGCAUGCCGCGGUGAAUACGUUCCCGGGCCUUGUACACACCGCCCGUCACACCACGAGAGUUUGUAACACCCGAAGUCGGUGAGGUAACCUUUUAUGGAGCCAGCCGCCUAAGGUGGGACAGAUGAU
rnacentral:rRNA from 1 species